rnacentral:rRNA from 1 species
UAGGGAAUCUUCGGCAAUGGACGAAAGUCUGACCGAGCAACGCCGCGUGAGUGAAGAAGGUUUUCGGAUCGUAAAACUCUGUUGUUAGAGAAGAACAAGGACGUUAGUAACUGCACGUCCCCUGACGGUAUCUAACCAGAAAGCCACGGCUAACUACGUGCCAGCAGCCGCGGUAAGACGUAGGUGGCAAGCGUUGUCCGGAUUUAUUGGGCGUAAAGCGAGCGCAGGCGGUUUCUUAAGUCUGAUGUGAAAGCCCCCGGCUCAACCGGGGAGGGUCAUUGGAAACUGGGAGACUUGAGUGCAGAAGAGGAGAGUGGAAUUCCAUGUGUAGCGGUGAAAUGCGUAGAUAUAUGGAGGAACACCAGUGGCGAAGGCGGCUCUCUGGUCUGUAACUGACGCUGAGGCUCGAAAGCGUGGGGAGCAAACAGG